UGUUGAGAGGUUCCUCACCUUUGACUCGGGAGAGGAUGCUAAUCCUAAUAAAAAUCCUUUGGGAGGGUCCUCCCAGAAUACGGCCGAUGGCGUCCUGAGACGGUUCCGACCUCAUCGUUUCGAGUCCUACUCCGCCUCUGCGGGCGAAAUGCCGGUGUCUUGCCAACUUUCGGAUGCCCCAUGGGACUAUGCGCAACCAGCGGGAAGCUGCCUGGAGGAGGAAGCACCGACGAGCUUUCUUAAAUAUGAAAUCAGUGACUGAAUUCAAGGUUUUAGGAAGGGUUUGAGACAUACUCUUUCUCCGAUUGCCACUCCUCCUUUGUAUGCUACAAUGAAAGCCAGCGUUCAUUCCAUUCAAUUCCAUUCCGGUGAUCAUUCCAGCAACUAAACACUACAAGCGGGUAGAAAGUGUUUUGGCAUCUUACGGGUUGAAAUGACUGCAGCAUCAGAUGUAGCAUCCUGCAUUAUGAACUUUCGAAUCCGAGUCCUGUCAUUUCGAGCAUAAUAUGU